rnacentral:rRNA from 1 species
GAUGAACGCUAGCUACAGGCUUAACACAUGCAAGUCGAGGGGUAACGAGAGGGAAGCUUGCUUUCCUUGUCGACGACCGGCGCACGGGUGAGUAACGCGUAUCCAACCUGCCCCCAACUAGGGAAUAACCUUGCGAAAGUAAGACUAAUACCCUAUAAUUUCCUCAGAUGUCAUCUGACGAGGAAUAAAGAUUUAUCGGUUGUGGAUGGGGAUGCGUCUGAUUAGCUUGUUGGCGGGGUAACGGCCCACCAAGGCAACGAUCAGAAGGGGUUCUGAGAGGAAGGUCCCCCACAUUGGAACUGGGACACGGGCCAAACUCCUACGGGAGGCAGCAGGGAGGAAUAUUGGUCAAUGGGCGGAAGCCUGAGCCAGCCAAGUAGCGUGCAGGAUGACGGCCCUAUGGGUUGUAAACUGCUUUUAUACAGGAAUAAAGUUAGCCACGUGUGGUUAUUUGUAGGUACUGUAUGAAUAAGGACCGGCUAAUUCCGUGCCAGCCGCCGCCGUAA